CAAAAUGAUGCGGUAAUUUGCGGUUGAUCCGUUUUCUGUGAAGCUCUCGCCGGAGUUUCUGCAAGCAGUUUUCGGCUGUGAUAUUCCUUUUCUUACAUAUUCUGAAC
rfam:Ajellomyces capsulatus G186AR genomic scaffold supercont2.3, whole genome shotgun sequence.